CCAGACUCCUACGGGAGGCAGCAGUAGGGAAUAUUGCACAAUGGGGGAAACCCUGAUGCAGCGACGCCGCGUGAGCGAUGAAGUAUUUCGGUAUGUAAAGCUCUAUCAGCAGGGAAGAAAAUGACGGUACCUGACUAAGAAGCCCCGGCUAACUACGUGCCAGCAGCCGCGGUAAUACGUAGGGGGCAAGCGUUAUCCGGAUUUACUGGGUGUAAAGGGAGCGUAGACGGCCAUUCAAGCCAGAUGUGAAAGCCCGGGGCUCAACCCCGGGACUGCAUUUGGAACUGUGUGGCUAGAGUGUCGGAGAGGCAGGCGGAAUUCCUAGUGUAGCGGUGAAAUGCGUAGAUAUUAGGAGGAACACCAGUGGCGAAGGCGGCCUGCUGGACGAUGACUGACGUUGAGGCUCGAAAGCGUGGGGAGCAAACAGGAUUAGAUACCCUUGUACC
rnacentral:rRNA from 1 species